AGGUUUGUAAUAAUAUUUCCAAUUACAUCUCUUGCAGAAAACGUCAUUGAAAAACCUUUAUCUUCCUUAACAAUAUUUCAGCAGUCCUAAAGGAAAGGCAUAGUAAAACAAUUUGUACUGAAUUGGUUUAUCUGGUUUAUCCCUAUUUAUUUCAGAAUUUGCCCUCAUAACCUAUUCUUUCUCAUAGAGACUCUCAAACAAUCUAGUGCUUUUUCAGAGA
rnacentral:misc_RNA from 1 species